rnacentral:ncRNA from 1 species
GAGGGCCAACGCGACUGGCGCGGUCAAGGUGGAUCACCACCGGGGAGCGAACGACGGUCCGGACACCGCGCGCCUGGGUGGACGGG